GACGAACGCUGGCGGCGUGCUUAACACAUGCAAGUCGAACGGAAAGGCCCUGCUUUUGUGGGGUGCUCGAGUGGCGAACGGGUGAGUAACACGUGAGUAACCUGCCCUUGACUUUGGGAUAACUUCAGGAAACUGGGGCUAAUACCGGAUAGGAGCUCCUGCUGCAUGGUGGGGGUUGGAAAGUUUCGGCGGUUGGGGAUGGACUCGCGGCUUAUCAGCUUGUUGGUGGGGUAGUGGCUUACCAAGGCUUUGACGGGUAGCCGGCCUGAGAGGGGGACCGGGCACAUUGGGACUAAGAGACGGCGCAGACUCCUACGGGACGCAGCAGGGGGGAAUAUUGCACAGUGGGGGGGAGCCUGAUGCGGCAACGUCGCGUGCGGGAUGACGGCCUUCGGGUUGUAAACCGCUUUCUCCUGUGACGAAGCGUGAGUGACGGUAAUGGGUAAAGAAGCACCGGCUAACUACGUG
rnacentral:rRNA from 1 species